UACGUAGGGUCCGAGCGUUGUCCGGAAUUACUGGGCGUAAAGAGCUCGUAGGUGGUUUGUCGCGUUGUUCGUGAAAACUCACAGCUCAACUGUGGGCGUGCGGGCGAUACGGGCAGACUUGAGUACUGCAGGGGAGACUGGAAUUCCUGGUGUAGCGGUGGAAUGCGCAGAUAUCAGGAGGAACACCGGUGGCGAAGGCGGCCUGCUGGGGCAGUGGCUGACGCUGAGGCGCGACAGCGUGGGGGAGCAAACAGG
rnacentral:rRNA from 1 species